rnacentral:rRNA from 1 species
AGUGAACGCUGGCGGUAGGCCUAACACAUGCAAGUCGAACGGCAGCACAGUAAGAGCUUGCUCUUACGGGUGGCGAGUGGCGGACGGGUGAGGAAUACAUCGGAAUCUACUUUUUUGUGGGGGAUAACGUAGGGAAACUUACGCUAAUACCGCAUACGACCUACGGGUGAAAGCAGGGGAUCUUCGGACCUUGCGCGAUUGAAUGAGCCGAUGUCGGAUUAGCUAGUUGGCGGGGUAAAGGCCCACCAAGGCGACGAUCCGUAGCUGGUCUGAGAGGAUGAUCAGCCACACUGGAACUGAGACACGGUCCAGACUCCUACGGGAGGCAGCAGUGGGGAAUAUUGGACAAUGGGCGCAAGCCUGAUCCAGCCAUACCGCGUGGGUGAAGAAGGCCUUCGGGUUGUAAAGCCCUUUUGUUGGGAAAGAAAAGCAGCAGGUUAAUACCCCGCUGUUCUGACGGUACCCAAAGAAUAAGCACCGGCUAACUUC